AUGAGGCGUGUCCUCACUGUUGAGAUCCUCGCCUCGUCCAUGGAGCGAAAGCUCUACCACCUCCGGAAAGAGGAGUACGGCCACCUUGUGAGGUACAUUAAUAAAACUUUUUGCAGCGACAUGGCAUGUCCAGGCAACAUUGUCAAUGUCCGUCAUGUAACUCAACACUUCGUUGGUAACAUGAUAAGAAGGCUUGUGUUCGGUAAAAGGUACUUCAGUGACCUACCAACUUCAUCCACUAGUGAGCCUGGACAUGAUGAGGUGGCACAUGUUGCCGCUCUCUUCACGGCCCUCAACCAUCUCUACAGCUUUUGCGUGUCCGACUACUUCCCAGCCCUCAUAGGCCUCGACCUAGAUGGCCAUGAAAAGGUUUCCAAGGAUGCCAUGCAAACACUCAACCGGUUACAUGAUCCCAUUAUAGAGGAGCGGAUCCGCGAAAGGUCAUCCAUUCUUGAGAAAUGUGGUGAAAAGAAAGAGGCGAGAGACUUUUUGGACAUCCUGGUUCAUCUAAAAGAUGCGGAGGGACAACCAUUGCUGUCCCUACAAGAAAUUAGAGCACAAACAGCGGAAAUGAUGUUUGCAGCAGUCGAUAACCCAUCUAAUGCGGUUGAGUGGGCACUUGCUGAGAUGAUGAAUGUGCCAGAGAUCAUGCAAAAAACAACUGAGGAACUCGAUACCGUUGUCGGUAAAGAUAGACUAGUCGAAGAGUCUGACAUUCCUCGGCUAAACUAUCUCAAAUCGUGCAUCCGGGAGGCCUUCCGCAUACACCCAUACCAUGCUCUUAAUGUACCCCAUGUCGCAAUGGCGGACACAACUGUUGCUGGCUACACAAUCCCCAAGGAUAGCCACAUACUUUUAAGCCGGCUUGGACUUGGCCGCAAUCCCAAGAUCUGGACUGAACCACUGGAGUUUCAGCCCGAGAGGCAUUUGAACACCGUGAAUGUACUUCUCACUGAUCCAGGCCUACGUUUCAUUUCAUUUAGCAGUGGGAGGAGGGGCUGUCCUGGGAUUUCACUUGGUACCUCUAUCACAAUGAUGUUGUUCGCAAGGCUGUUGCAGGGAUUCACUUGGACAAAGCUUCCCGGCGUUAAGAGUAUCAGUCUCCAAGAAGGCAAUACGGGCCUUGUACUAGCUGAACCCCUUGUUCUACAAGCUACACCACGGUUGGCUGCACAUCUCUAUAUAUGA
rnacentral:rRNA from 1 species